rnacentral:rRNA from 1 species
UACGUAGGUGGCAAGCGUUUGUCCGGAUUACUGGGCGUAAAGAGCGCGCAGGCGGUCGUUCAAGUCGCGUGUGAAAGCCCCCGGCUCAACUGGGGAGGGUCACGCGAUACUGAUCGACUCGAAGGCAGGAGAGGGAAAUGGAAUUCCCGGUGUAGUGGUGAAAUGCGUAGAUAUCGGGAGGAACACCAGUGGCGAAGGCGACUUCCUGGCCUGUUCUUGACGCUGAGGCGCGAAAGCUAGGGGAGCAAACGGGG